GAACUUUACCAGGACCCAGAUGUUUUUUAUGACUGACAGGCUUCGGGUCUUUCAGGAUAUUGUUUUUGGUGGUGCAUGGCCGUUGGUGGUGCGUGGGUUGACCUGUCUAGCGUUGAUUCAGCUAACGAGCGAGAUUAUCGCCAAUUAUUUACUUUGCCGAAGUCCUUCGGUUAAAGUUCUAAUUGGGACUCCCUGCGAUUUUAGCAGGUGGAAGAGGGUAGCAAUAACAGGUCCGUGAUGCCCUUUAGAUGCUCUGGGCUGCACGCGUGCUACAAUGUUAGGAUCAAUAGGACUGCGAGCCUGAGAGGGUGCGCUACUCUUAUAAUCCCUAACGUAGUUGGGAUUGACGUUUGUAAUCAGCGUCAUGAACCAGGAAUCCCUUGUAAAUGUGUGUCAACAACGCACGUUGAAUACGUCCCUGCCCUUUGUACACACCGCCCGUCGCUCCUACCGAUUGGAUGACUCGGUGAAAUCACCGGAUGCUUACGAGCAGAAAGUGAUUAAAUCACGUUAUCUAGAGGAAGGAGAAGUCGUAACAAGGUAACGGUAGGUGAACCUGCCGUUGGAUCAGUU
rnacentral:ncRNA from 1 species